rnacentral:rRNA from 1 species
GAAUCUUUCGAUGGAAGCUUCGGCCGAAGUCGGCAGAGGAAAGCGGCAAACGGCGUAGUUAUGAAUAGGUUACGUACCCUCAGGACGGGAAUAGCCACGGGAAACUGUGGGUAAUGCCCGAUAAUGUCUCCGGACCAAAUGGUGUGAUUCCGCCUGAGGAGCGGCUUAUUUGAUAUUAGCUUGUUGGUGGGGUAAUGGCCUACCAAGGCUGUGAUGUCUAGGGGGUGUGAGAGCAUGGCCCCCACGACCGGGACUGAGACACUGCCCGGACACCUACGGGUGGCUGCAGUCGAGAAUCUUCCGCAAUGGGCGCAAGCCCGACGGAGCGACGCCGCGUGCGGGACGAAGGCCCUUGGGUUGUAAACCGCUGUCAGAGGGGAUGAAAUUCUUGAGGGUUAUCCCUCUUGAUUGACAGAGCCUCAGAGGAAGCACGGGCUAAGUACGUGCCAGCAGCCGCGGUAACACGUACUGUGCGAACGUUAUUCGGAAUCACUGGGCUUAAAGGGUCCGUAGGCGGCUUUGCAAGUCAGGUGUGAAAUUUUACGGCUCAACCGUGAAACUGCGCUUGAAACUGCAAGGCUUGAGUAUCUUAGGGGUGUGCGGAACUGCCAGUGGAGCGGUGAAAUGUGUUGAUAUUGGCAGGAACACCGGAGGCGAAAGCGGCACACUGGGAGAUAACUGACGCUGAGGGACGAAAGCCAGGGGAGCGAACGGGAUUAGAUACCCCGGUAGUCCUGGCUGUAAACGAUGAGCACUAGUUGGGAGGAGGUUCGCCUCAUCCUGACGCCGUGAAAACAUUAAGUGCUCCGCCUGGGGAGUAUGGUCGCAAGGC